AGUCCAUGAAGAUUAUCUUGCCUUGUCUCAUUGUUAGGUGGGGAUUUGCCCCGUUAUCUGUUUGUGGCUCUAAUAGGCUCAAAGGGUUUGAUGAAUGGCAUAUAUGUUCCCAGGCUUGUGUGGAAGAAACACGGAUAGCCCAUCAACACAUGCUAGAAUUCUAUCGUCCACCGCCAUGCUGCUAUCUUCAUGAAUGCAAUCAUCAAGAAUACAGUGCCAAAAGGACCAAGGGACGGCGCCAACGCUCAGCUUCUUCCUGCGGCUCCGGCUGUGGCGAUGCGAUGACGUCAUCCUGGGCAUGCGCACUAGAGACUGACAUUCUGCGAUGCCUGUCAUGUCUGUGCGUCCUGGAAGACGUUCGUGGAGCUGUGCUGGAAGACAGAACACCAACAUUUUCUCAAAUUACAAUAAUAUUUCUCAGGAGCUUAAUGCAACCAAAACAUUAUCCACUAUUUAUUGAUUGCGUGAUUUAUUUGGAGUGAUUUGAAUGGGUGCCCCCGGUGCGGCAGGUUAUGCUCACCUUUUUCUUUGAGCACGGGGUAUCAUCAUA